rnacentral:piRNA from 1 species
UCCACGGCUCCGCUCAUGCGCCAUUCAUAA